rnacentral:rRNA from 1 species
AAUAGAUACCCCGGUAGUCCACGCCGUAAACGUUGGGCACUAGGUGUGGGGACCUAUCGACGGUUUCCGUGCCGUAGCUAACGCAUUAAGUGCCCCGCCUGGGGAGUACGGCCGCAAGGCUAAAACUCAAAGGAAUUGACGGGGGGCCCGCACAAGCGGCGGAGCAUGUUGCUUAAUUCGAUGCAACGCGAAGAACCUUACCUGGGCUUGACAUGCAGAGAAAAGCCGUAGAGAUACGGUGUCCUUCGGGGCUCUGCACAGGUGGUGCAUGGUUGUCGUCAGCUCGUGUCGUGAGAUGUUGGGUUAAGUCCCGCAACGAGCGCAACCCUUGUCCUAUGUUGCCAGCGGAUAAUGCCGGGGACUCGUAGGAGACUGCCGGGGUCAACUCGGAGGAAGGUGGGGAUGACGUCAAAUCAUCAUGCCCCUUACGUCCAGGGCUGCAAACAUGCUACAAUGGCCGAUACAAAGGGCUGCUAUUCCGCGAGGAUGAGCGAAUCCCAAAAAGUCGGUCUCAGUUCGGAUCGAAGUCUGCAACUCG